UAUAGGAGGAUGACGUGCUAGCCAGGAAGAAACGUUUGGAACUGCGCGAUGCUGACGUCAGAGAGCUGCCUUUCCUUGUGCUGAUCUGUUAGUGUUGUAGCGGGGGUCCAAAAUGAUUAUAGGGCGAUUAGUGACCACAAGAAUUUCUCCAGUGGUGUUCAGGAACUUCCAGAAGAGAAAUGCAUACACCAGGAAGGCCAAUGUCAUAAGUGCGCCAGCGAGGAAUAAGAUUUCGAGAUUGGAGGCUUUCAUCCAUUCCGUUGUACUGUUUGGUGCCAUCACCGCUUAUCCUGCUUACGUCAUGAGGACACUGAAAACUGGAAAAUAAGCGCUCUGACAUCCGUAGAUAUAUACUGGAACAAACUGAAAAAUUAGCCCAUGGACUCAUAAUUGCAGGUGGAAUCUGCUUUAUUCCUAUAUGGGUUCUGACACACCUGCGUGACUACCAAGCCCCCAAGCAAUAAUAGACAAUAGAUGUAGCAAUUGGUUUUUGUGAUGAUACACAUGCUUGUAGGGUGAUUCAAAAGUAAUGAACACAUACUGUAAUUAUAUUGUUAAUAUCUGUAUUGGUAUUUAUUUUUUAAUUUGGAAUCGUGUGAAUGGAAAAAAUAGCUAUGUACAUUUAACUGUAUUAAUAAAGCAUUAACAAUAUUCACUGUCAAA